rnacentral:rRNA from 1 species
UCCUACGGGAGGCAGCAGUGGGGAAUAUUGCACAAUGGGCGAAAGCCUGAUGCAGCAACGCCGCGUGAGUGAUGAAGGCCUUCGGGUUGUAAAGCUCUGUCUUUGGGGACGAUAAUGACGGUACCCAAGGAGGAAGCCACGGCUAACUACGUGCCAGCAGCCGCGGUAAUACGUAGGUGGCAAGCGUUGUCCGGAUUUACUGGGCGUAAAGGAUGCGUAGGUGGAUAUUUAAGUCAGAUGUGAAAUACCCGAGCUUAACUUGGGUGCUGCAUUUGAAACUGGAUAUCUAGAGUGCAGGAGAGGUAAGUGGAAUUCCUAGUGUAGCGGUGAAAUGCGUAGAGAUUAGGAAGAACACCAGUGGCGAAGGCGACUUACUGGACUGUAACUGACACUGAGGCAUGAAAGCGUGGGGAGCAAACAGGAUUAGAUACCCUGGUAGUCCACGCCGUAAACGAUGAGUACUAGGUGUAGGAGGUAUCGACUCCUUCUGUGCCGCAGUUAACACAAUAAGUACUCCGCCUGGGAAGUACGGUCGCAAGAUUAAAACUCAAAGGAAUUGACGGGGGCCCGCACAAGCAGCGGAGCAUGUGGUUUAAUUCGAAGCAACGCGAAGAACCUUACCUAGACUUGACAUCUCCUGAAUAGCCGGUAACUCGGCGAAGCCCUUCGGGGCAGGAAGACAGGUGGUGCAUGGUUGUCGUCAGCUCGUGUCGUGAGAUGUUGGGUUAAGUCCCGCAACGAGCGCAACCCUUAUCAUUAGUUGCUACCAUUUAGUUGAGCACUCUAAUGAGACUGCCGUGGUUAACGCGGAGGAAGGUGGGGAUGACGUCAAAUCAUCAUGCCCCUUAUGUCUAGGGCUACACACGUGCUACAAUGGUGAGUACAAAGAGACGCAAACCCGCGAGGGGGAGCCAAACUAAAAAACUCAUCCCAGUUCGGAUUGUAGGCUGAAACUCGCCUACAUGAAGCCGGAGUUGCUAGUAAUCGCGAAUCAGCAUGUCGCGGUGAAUACGUUCCCGGGCCUUGUACACACCGCC